rnacentral:rRNA from 1 species
CGGUAAUUCCAGCUCCAAUAGCGUAUACUAAAGUUGUUGCAGUUAAAAAGCUCGUAGUUGGAUUUCUGCGGGGACGGAGCGGCCGGUCGCAACUUGCGACUCGAGCUAGCGCUUUCCCCGCAUCCUGCCGCGAACCGUGCUACCAUUAGCUUGGUGGCGCUGGGGAUCGGCUCGAUUACUUUGAGAAAAAUAGAGUGUUCAAAGCAGGCCACACGCCUUGAAUAAGUUAGCAUGGAAUAAUGACUAAGGACUUCGGUUCUAUUUUGUUGGUGUUCGGGACUGAAGUAAUGAUUGAUAGGGACAGUUGGGGCGGUCUGUAUUCCAAAGCGAGAGGUGAAAUUCUUAGACCUUCGGAAGACAAACAGCUGCGAAAGCGUUCCGCAAGGAUGUUCCCUUUGAUCAAGAACGAAAGUUGGGGGAUCGAAGACGAUCAGAUACCGUCGUAGUCUCAACUAUAAACUAUACCAGCUAGGGAUCGGUCAACGUUUAAUCAUUCGACUUGAUCGGCACCUUAUGAGAAAUCAAAGCAUCUGGGUUCCGGGGGGAGUAUGGUCGCAAGGCUGAAACUUAAAGGAAUUGACGGAAGGGCACCACCAGCCGUGGAGCCUGUGGCUUAAUUUGACUCAACACGGGAAAACUUACCAGGUCCAGACAUAGUAAGGAUUGACAGAUUGAUAGCUCUUUCUUGAUUCUGUGGGUGGUGGUGCAUGGCCGUUCUUAGUUGGUGGAGUGAUUUGUCUGGUUAAUUCCGUUAACGAACGAGACCCCAGCCUGCUAAAUAGCGCGGCUGAGCUUUGCUCGGUGCGAGCUUCUUAGAGGGACUAUGAUGCGCGAUAGCACAUGGAAGUUUGGGGCAAUAACAGGUCUGUGGUGCCCUUAGAUGUUCUGGGCCGCACACGGACUACACUGGCGCCUGCAACGAGCAUAUCAGCUGGCCCGAGAGGGUCUUGGCUAAUCUUUUGAACCGGCGCCGUGCUUGGGAUUGACCAUUGCAAUUGUUGGUCAUGCAACGAGGAAUGCCUUGUAAACGCGAGUCAUCAGCUCGCAUUGAAUACGUCCCUGCCCUUUGUACACACCGCCCGUCGCUCCUACCGAUGAAUGUUCCGAUGAAAUUUUCGGAGAGCGCCAGAGAACGGGGCUCCGCCUUGCAGAUCUGGAGGCUCAAAGUCACUUAAAUCUGAACAUUUCGAGGAAGGAGAAGUCGUAACAAGGUAGCCG